AAAAAAUAUAAUAUCUGAGAAACAACUUAACCUACCCAGAACUUAAGGUUCUGUUGCAUGGGGACAGACAGGACCAGGAUGUCCCUUCUUUAAUUCCUGCAAUGAUGGGACGUCUGAGGUUUUGUUCUAAAGCAAGGUCUUCUGGAGGAGUGAGGGCUGCUAAAGGAGGCCCACCACCAGUAGCAGUAACAGCUGUUUUCUUUCUGGUUGCUAAAAUAUUUCAUGCCGUUAAUUUAUAUCAUAAUACACACUAAAAUAUGUAAUUUAACAUUUUCCUGCACAUUAGACUAACCAAUUGGAAUUACCAUUCUGGUAUAUUUUUAUAUUUAACCUUGACCUGCUGCCAUGUUCUUUUUAUUAAGACCACAUGUCCCUUCUUAUAAUAGUAAAUUAAAACACAUUUUACGUUUGUCAUUUGUAAAUAUAAGCCUUUAUAUUUUCAUUUCAUUCAUUGCUCUUUUUUAUAUGUGCUAUUAUUAGCUUAGCUCAGCAAAUAUUUUAAAUUAAUAAAUAGUAACACACAUAUGCUCCUCUGCUGUCUUUAAAUGCACUUUUGAAAUGUCUGUGUGAGUUUAUAAACACUAUGAUUGUUGAUGCAAAGGGACCAAAUAAAUCUUGUCUAAGGCAUCACACUGGGCCGGCUCAAAAACACACUUCCUGAUUGUUCUCGUAUAUAUAAAUUUGUUACAGUUCCUUCUGUCAGGGAGUUCGAGGUGGUGGUGUGCUGUGAAGAUAAUAAAAUGGACCAUGUCUAUGGAAAUGAUGAUUUGGAGCUCUCCUCAACUGAUGGAAAAAACAGAGGUCCCAGUUCACCCGUUACAGACAUAUCUGGACGGAAAAGAUGCUCAUUCAGAGAGAGGGAUUCUCAUCUUUCUCCAAAAACCCUGAAGGUUCUUUUGGUUGUUCUCGGCUUCCUCCUGCUCUGUGCUUUGGUGGCGCUCUGUGUUCUGGGGGUCCUGUGUGAGUAUCACUCGGCUUCAGUCUCCAAUGCAUUUGCAGUGGUCCUGAAGAUCUACUCAACUUCUGUUGUUCUCUUUUAACAGAUUUCAAUAAAGGAGUCUCAUCUGAAUUAUGUGUCGGUGCU
rnacentral:lncRNA from 1 species